AUACUUACCUGGCAGGGGAGGUACCAUGAUCUUGAAGGUGGUUUUCUCAGAGUGAGGCUUACCUAUUGCACUAUAGGUGUGCUGAUCUCUGUGAUUUCCCCAAAUGCGAGAAGCUUGCCUGCAUAAUUUGUAGUACUAGGGACUGA
rnacentral:snRNA from 1 species